CUACGGGAGGCAGCAGUGAGGAAUAUUGGACAAUGGGCGGGAGCCUGAUCCAGCCAUGCCGCGUGCAGGAUGACGGCCCUAUGGGUUGUAAACUGCUUUUAUACGGGAAGAAACGCACCCACGUGUGGGUGUCUGACGGUACCGUAAGAAUAAGGACCGGCUAACUCCGUGCCAGCAGCCGCGGUAAUACGGAGGGUCCGAGCGUUAUCCGGAAUCAUUGGGUUUAAAGGGUCCGUAGGCGGGCCUGUAAGUCAGGGGUGAAAGUUUGUGGCUCAACCAUAAAAUUGCCUUUGAUACUGCAGGUCUUGAGUCAUGGUGGGGUCGCCGGAACAUGUGGUGUAGCGGUGAAAUGCAUAGAUAUCACAUAGAACACCGAUCGCGAAGGCAGGUGGCCAACCAUGUACUGACGCUGAUGGACGAAAGCGUGGGUAGCGAACGGGAUUAGAUACCCCGGUAGUCCACGCCGUAAACGAUGGAUACUAGCUGUGGGGACUUCGGUCUCCGUGGCCAAGCGAAAGUGAUAAGUAUCCCACCUGGGGAGUACGUUCGCAAGAAUGAAACUCAAG
rnacentral:rRNA from 1 species